ACGUAUCAGGACUCCAAGUACCCGUACUACUGGGCCUCAAUGGGCUUGAUCCCUAGGACUAGAGCAGCUGCGCUGCUGGGACAAGCUCCGGCUAUGCCGAUGUAUAAACAUGAGAGAAUACGCUUGAGUUGGGCAUGAUGUAAUUAAACCAAAUUCCUUCCUAAGAAAUAUGCAUCUGUCCUUCCUUUCUCCUAUUCUCUGCUUAGGCCCCGUUUGGUUCCAUCAACUAAAUUUUAGCUAGCUAAACUUUAGUCACUUUAGUAGCUAAAGUUCCAAACACAUUGACUAAAAUGGAAUAAAAUAGUUUAGUUCUAUUAGUCACCCAAGGGUAGCUAAAAAAAUUUUAGCUAGCUAAAAUUUAGUUGGUGGAACCAAACAGGGCCUUACUCCUUCCCCAAGUCUAGUCUUCCUCCCGAUCCCCAAUUCUGCUAUGCUAACAUCGUAUCAGAGACGAUUUGAUCCCUGAUCGGAGAGACUCUCUACUCCAUCGAUCGUGAGAGCAAACGCUGCCGGUAGGUUGAGUUCGCCGGUGACCAGUGAGCUGCUGGACAUCGGUGAGUUCCUGUAAUUCCGCCCGCCCGUUCUCCGAUUUGUGGCCACGUCUCUCGAUCUGGCGACUAUCCCACCUCCACCACCACCACCACACCCCCACUACACCAGAUUCGCGAGGAAGCUAGGCGCCAUGAGUCCCGAGGGGAAGCAAUUGCUGGCAGAGAUGCAACGGCUGUUCCAGGAGCAGAACAGCUUACUGGAUCGGCGUUUCGCCGAUUCGGAGCAGACGGUCGAGCAUCGCAUCGUUGAUUCCGAGAAUCGCAUCGACGGCCUCAUCCGCGACUCGGAAACUCGCCUCGACAUCCGCAUCACCGAAGCCACGCAACGCCAGGAUGACCGCCUGAAGUCCCUCGAGGCGGCAGCCGGUGGAUUGGAGACUUGGCGUCAGGACGCUGAAGGCGUGCUCGACGAUAUGCGUCUGAAGGUACUCAAGAUCAACAAACAGCUGGAUCGUUCGAUGAUCGAGCAGUCCUCUUCGGGUCCGGGUCUUCUCUCAUCGACGACACAUCUGGAGCAAGCUGAUCAGCGCCCAUCUGCUGACGAUAAGGCUGCUCGGCCCAGCGGGCACGGCGUUGCAACAUCUCCACGGGAGAAUGAGUUCGGUGUGGUCACCACCCUUACUCAUUCCCCGGCCAAUGGUACGAACCCUCCUCCCAAAUUCCAUGGAACAGCUUAUGAUCUUUGUAUGAGUCGCAAUAGACCUCCUGAUCCUCACCAAUGGCCCACGGGUCGUAUGCCCAAAUUUCCCUUUCCAACGUUCCAUGGUGAGAACGUUCGGCUUUGGAUAUCCAAUGCCGAGGACUACUUUGACAUAUACCAAGUUGAACCCCACUUGUGGCUCAAAAUUUCUAAACAACAGUUCAAAGAUUCAGCAGCACACUGGAUUCAAUCCAUCGAGCCUGAGCUCAAGUCCCUCACAUGGCCUACAUUCUGUCUACUUUUGCAUGACCGCUUUGGGCGUGAUCAACACCAAACUUUGAUCCGUAAACUGUUCCAGAUUCAUCAAGAGUCCACUGUGUCCGACUACAUCACCCAAUUUUCAGUCCUCAUUGAUAAGCUUAAGGCUUACAAUCCCAAUAUUGACAUGUUAUAUUACACUACUCGUUUUGUCGAUGGAUUGCGUGAAGAUAUACGUGCUGUUGUUAUUGUUCAAAGGCCCCACAACUUGGAUACUGCGUAUACUUUGGCUUUGUUACAGGAGGAGGUGACUGAUUCGGGGAAGCGCAAGGACCAUCGGCGUGAAGCCUUGCCCUUCCACAAGGCUUCCUACCGAACGACGCCACCAGCCCCAACGCCGGCUACAAGAGCUGCUGAUUCUGGGUUUACUGUCCCUGCCAACGCCAAGACCCCUGAAGAACGGUUCCGCGCGCUGCGCGCCUACCGCCGAGCAAAAGGUCUCUGUGACAAUUGCGCUGAGAAGUGGUCGAGGGACCACAGGUGUGCUCCUACGGUGCGCCUUAACGCUAUGCAGGAGGUAUUUGAUCUUUUCUCUAUCACUGAUGAUUCAGUUGAAACUGAUGAUGCUAUGGAUUGGUCAAGCGCCUCACCACCUGCAGACCAGCUAUUGCUAGCCAUAUCUAGUGAUGCAAUGACAGGCAACCGAGGUGCUAGGACCAUGCUUUUCUAUGGGGACAUUCAGAGUGUGCCUGUCAAAGUAUUGAUUGAUUCUGGCAGCACAACAUCUUUUAUCAGUCAGGCCAUUGUGGAUCAGUUGCAGUUGCUAACUCUAAAACUAGUGAAUCAAUCUGUACAAGUGGCCAAUGGAGAAACUCUUCAGUGCACAGCGGUUGCCGCAAACUGUAGUUGGACAACGGAUUCUCAGUUAUUCACACAUGAUCUAAAGGUCCUACCAUUGCACUCCUAUGAUAUUAUUGUGGGCAAGGACUGGUUGGAGAAAUUUAGCCCCAUGAAGGUUGAUUGGAAAUUGAAAUGGAUGCAGAUUCCAGUGGGUACACAAACUGUAACCCUUCAUGGAUGUCCUGAUCUUCAAUCUCCAGAACUUAUGUUUCAGUUACUCGCAGCAGAACAAGACACCACAUCAUCUUCUGAUCACUCAUUGUUACCCACGGAUAUUCAGAAAAUUUUGGAUGAUUUUCCUACAGUCUGUGCACCACCAACACAGUUACCUCCUAUCAGACCAUACGAUCAUUCCAUACCUCAAAUCCAAGGAGCUCGACCUGUGAACAUUCGACCCUAUCAUUAUCCACCUGCUCUAAAGGAUGAGAUAGAAUCUCAAGUCGCACAGAUGCUGCAACACGGCUUAAUCCAGUCCAGCAAUUCUUCUUUUUCCUCCCCGGUGUUGAUGGUUAGGAAAAAGGACGGCUCUUGGCGAUUCUGUAUUGAUUAUCGUUACCUGAACGACCUGACUGUCAAGGGUACCUAUCCUAUACCAGUGUUCGAGCAACUAAUGGAUGAGUUGUCAGGUGCCCGGUGGUUCUCCAUUCUGGACUUAUAUGCCGGAUACCACCAAGUCCGACUCAAAGAAGGAGAAGAAUACAAAACGGCCUUCUCAACUCAUUCGGGACACUUUGAGUUCAGGGUAAUGGCUUUCGGAUUAACUGGAGCACCAAACACAUUUCAGCAUGCCAUGAACUGCACAUUGUCAUCCUUGCUUCGCAAGUGUGUGAUCGUUUUCUUUGAUGAUAUCUUGGUGUUCAGUCCCACAUAUGAGCAGCAUCUGCUGGAUCUGCGGAAGGUGUUUGCAUUGCUCAAAUCCGAGCACUGGCAUAUCAAAUUGACCAAGUGUCAUUUUGCUCAACAGCAACUGUCCUACCUCGGCCACAUCAUAAGUGCUGAUGGCAUUGCCACCGACCCAGCUAAGAUUGAAGCUAUUGUAUCAUGGCCAGUGCCUGCUAAUGUUCGCGAACUUCGUAGUUUUCUAGGUCUGGCCGGUUUUUACCGCAAGUUCAUUAAGCACUUCGCCAUCAUCACCAGACCUCUGACCAAUUUACUCAAGAAAGGGACUUAUUUCAUCUGGACAUCAGAACAACAGACCGCCUUUGACACCCUGAAACAAGCAAUGAGCUCUGCACCGGUGUUGGCAAUUCCUGAUUUCACUAAGCAAUUCAUCAUUGAAACCGAUGCUUCAAACAAUGGGGUUGGCGCCGUGCUUAUGCAACAAGGACACCCAUUAGCUUUCAUCAGCAAACCUCUAGGUCCGCGUACUCAAGGUCUCUCGACAUAUGAGAAAGAGUACAUGGCCAUUCUACUGGCAGUUGAGCAAUGGCGUGCCUAUCUACAGCAUGCUGAGUUCCUCAUAUAUACAGAUCAGAAAAGCUUAGUCCAUCUAAAUGAGCAGCGCUUACACACUGUGUGGCAACAAAAGGUUUUCACUAAGUUGCUUGGCAUGCAGUAUAAGAUUGUCUACAAGAAGGGACAAGACAAUCGCGUAGCUGAUGCGUUAUCACGGCGACCACAUUCCUCUGAAACCUGCAUGGCCAUCUCCACAGUGGUUCCUCAGUGGUGCUCUACAGUGGUGGCUGGAUACUCAUCUGAUCCACAAGCUUCAACGUACAUUACUCAACUCUCUGUUGACCCAGGCGCAGUCCCACACUUCACAUUGCAAAAUGGCCUGCUCAGGUACAAGAACCGUAUCUGGCUCGGUAACAACAAAGUUAUGCAACAGAGAGUCAUUCAAGCACUUCACACGUCAGCAGUUGGUGGCCACUCUGGCGUUCCUGUUACCUGCCGCCGCGUUCGUCAGCUUUUUGCUUGGCCUGGCUUAAAAAAUGAUAUAUAUGAGUUUGUCACCAGUUGUCCUACGUGUCAGCAGUCAAAACCAGAUAGAGCGCGCUACCCUGGGUUACUACAACCACUGCCAGUACCAUCAUCUGCUUGGCAAUCCAUCUCAAUGGACUUUGUUGAAGGGCUUCCGGUUUCUCAUGGCUAUAAUUGUAUCAUGGUUAUUGUUGACAGGUUCUCCAAAUAUAGCCAUUUCCUCACACUCAAACACCCUUUCAGUGCACUCAACGUGGCCAAAUUGUUUAUGCAACAAGUUCACAGAUUACAUGGCCUUCCAUCUUCUAUUAUUUCAGAUCGUGACAGGAUUUUUCUCAGCAACCGGUGGCAGGAAUUGUUCAAACUAGCAGAUGUGCAACUCAAAAUGAGUUCCGCAUAUCAUCCACAAACCGAUGGACAAACGGAACGUGUAAAUCAGUGCAUGGAAACCUUCUUACGCUGCUUCGUCAAUGCAGUACCUCAAAAAUGGUAUGAUUGGAUCCAAUUCGAGUUGGCAUUCUGCUUUGGAUUGUUCCCUGUUUGAAGCUCUGUAUGGGUAUCUUCCUCUUCACUUUGGUAUUGAUUCUCUCGACGCCUGUCCUUCAGUGGAGCUCUCUGACUGGCUUGAAGAUAAGCAACUAAUGCAGAAUUUGAUUAAACAGCACCUGUCACGUGCCCAGCGCCGUAUGAAGACUCAGGCUGACAAGAAACGUUCUGAACGUGUGUUCAACAAAGGAGACUGGGUAUAUCUCAAGCUUCAACCUUAUGUUCAAUCAUCCCUGGCCCCUCGUUCAAAUCAAAAGUUAGCCUUCAAGUUCUUUGGUCCGUUCCAAAUUGAAGCGAAAGUCGGUGAAGUUGCCUACAAGCUCAGCUUACCAUCCUCUUCACAAGUCCAUCCGGUCUUUCACGUAUCACAACUCAAACACGCCCUUCCUGUCAAGCAUCAAGUUGCUGAUUUGCAAAACACCUUGGAUGGCCUCCAGUUCCCUGAACAAGUGCUCCAACGCCGGGUAUCUUCAAAAGACUCCGCUGUUGUUCUGCAAGGUUUGAUAAAAUGGUCUGGUCUUCCACAAUCCUUGGCUACGUGGGAAGAUUUGGAGCCAUUGAAGCAGAGAUUUCCCAGGGCUCCUGCUUGGGGACAAGCAGUUUCCAAAGGAAGGGGGGGUGUUACAACAUCGCCUAGUAAAGAGGCUCAGGGAACUGGCCCAGUCACUAUGGCCUCUCCAGCAACAGAGAAGAGACAGAGCACACGUAUCAGGACUCCAAGUACCCGUACUACUGGGCCUCAAUGGGCUUGAUCCCUAGGACUAGAGCAGCUGCGCUGCUGGGACAAGCUCCGGCUAUGCCGAUGUAUAAACAUGAGAGAAUACGCUUGAGUUGGGCAUGAUGUAAUUAAACCAAAUUCCUUCCUAAGAAAUAUGCAUCUGUCCUUCCUUUCUCCUAUUCUCUGCUUACUCCUUCCCCAAGUCUAGUCUUCCUCCCGAUCCCCAAUUCUGCUAUGCUAACAAAAAUUCUUAGUUCAAAAUUGAGAGCAUAGAUUAUCUUGAUUUCAGUGUUGGAUGUACUAUCUUUAGUCUUUACUAACUCUGGCAUUCCGCUAAUUGCAUGUGUAUGUUAAUUCUGUACCAAAGCUAUUUAUUUGAUUCCAUUCCAUAUUACACUACGUUUUCAAGGUUUGUCAUUGAGACGUGAGAGGUUUCAGUAGCAGUGGCAGCCUGGCAGGAUUGCAGCUCCAUAACAUUCACUAGGUGCUUGAUCAAUUGAUAAAAAAAG
rnacentral:lncRNA from 1 species